AAUCCCCAUGAUGGUUUAACCAUGCUAAUACUGAUUUCUAAUGACUGAAUCAAAGUUUACUUACUGAGGGAUUA